rnacentral:misc_RNA from 1 species
GAUGAAGAACGUAGCGAAAUGCGAUAAGUAAUGUGAAUUGCAGAAUUCAGUGAAUCAUCGAAUCUUUGAACGCACAUUGCGCCCGCCAGCACUCUGGCGGGCAUGCCUGUUCGAGCGUCAUUUCAACCAUCAAGCCCCCAGGGGCUUGUGCUGGGGCCCUGCGGCUGCCCGCAGGCCCUGAAAACCAGUGGCGGGCUCGCUAGUCACACCGAGCGCAGUAGCACAUCUCGCUCAGGGCGUGCGGCGGGCUCCUGCCGUGAAACCCCCCACUGUAACCCCAAAGGAUGACCUCGGAUCAGGUAGGAAUACCCGCUGAACUUAAGCAUAUCAAUAAGCGGAGGA